GCUCUCCCUCGCUGUCUUCGGCUUGCACCCCCGCGUUCCCCUCGCCAGCGUCACUGCGCGAUCUCGACUCCCCUGCCGUGUGUCCCCGUGUGUGCCUCCGCUGUGCCUCUCUCAGCGUUCCGCCGUGGGCCUUCGAAGAUGGCGUACCCGGUCGGUAUUAUUCUCUACGCGAUCCUCCAGUUCAUCGCGUUCCUCUUCGUGCUGGUCGGUACGCCGAUCGACAUGUUCCGUGGCACCACCAAGGACCUGUUCAACAUAUCACUGUGCAUAACCCUGUGGGGUUCAAAGUUCGAGUGCAAGACCAUCAUGUACGCCAUGCCCACCGACGACCAGUGGAAGUUUUGCCCGACCCGCCUCCAGCAUUUCCACAUAGCCCAGAUUUUGUCCAUCAUCUCCGUCUUCGUGUACGCCCUUGCGGCGCUGCUCGGCUUCAUUAUGCUGUGCUGCUGCUCUUUGCUCCGCUGGCUCUGCCUGGUGUUCAACAUCGCUGGCAUCAUCACGUUGGGCAUCACCUGGGGGUUCAUGGUGGUGGAGUACGGUAGGAAUGAGAGCAGGUUUUGCCCCCCUCUGCGGAAGGACUACAAGUUUGGGGUCGGCUUUGCUCUUUUCAUGGUGGCCUGGGUCCUGAAUCUCAUCAACAUCGUCUUCUUGCUGCUCCCGUGGGAGAUUCUGGAGUCAGAGGAGAGUGAGAAAUCGAAGGAAUACACGGAGCAAGAAUAGGAGGCAUGAGCCGCAGGAAGUGACGGGCAAACGUGGCGGCAGCGCGGCAGCUCCACGGCGACGUCCUCGUGGAGGAGCCGGCGGGAAAGACGGAGGGAGCGGAGGCUGCGGACGCUCGCCCCUGACUUUCGCCGGCAUCUCUCCCGCUCUCGCUCGCUGCCCUCUCGUGCGCGCGACCGCUUGCGGGCGUGUUCGCGGUUUCUCCCUCGCCUGCUUUCGUCUUCUCCUGCGUGUGUCCUUUGUGGAGCUUUCCGCCUCCCCCUUCGCUUCUGCCUUUUCGAUCUGCACAGCGAUCUGCGCGUUGUGGUGGGCAGCGCACCCUUGACGGCGACACGCCCAUCGAGGGCCCCCUCACGCACACCGCAUGGACUCCUCAAACGGAGAGGUGGAGGGAGGGGGUGUGCGAGGUGCCACAGGUGUGGUGGUGGCAGGGGCAGGAGCCAAGGAGGCUCACGUGUAGGCGCAGCGGGAAGACAGGAGGGCGGCGUCCGUGCGCCCAGCGGCGACACACAGGUGCAUACGCAACGCUAAAGCGAGGCGAUUGCAGCUCUGGCUCCUGAUCUUUCCUUGCGCCCCAUGCACGGCCUACGUGUGUGCGCGCACACCCGCGCGCGCGCAGGUGCGUAGGAGGGGGCACCCCCUUCUUCAGCGAAUGCCCCUUCGGCGUCGCCCCUCCCUUGCUGCGGCGACUCCCCGCGCCCCUCGCGCCCACACGGAGAAGGCGGCACCACGACAGGGAAGCCGUCGGGCGCACUCUCGGUCCUCCGCGGGCCAACGACGCGGUCGGGGUGCGUGCGUGCGCGUGCCUCAAUAUAUGCGAAGUCUUUGUUAUCUCUUUGCCUUCCGUGUGUCGUUUCUUUUUUUUCGCUUCGCUUGUUUGUUUGGUGGCCUCAUCACACCGCCGAGUCCUCCAGACGCGGGUGUAGAGAGUGUCCACACCGUAUUACGGCAUGCCGCGGCUUGAAGCGAGUGAGCGAGAGGCGUGGCAUAUGCAGGCAGAGCACAGGGUCUCAAAGGGCCCUGGCCUGCGGCUGGCCAACCUUCUCUCUGCGCUUGCCGGGCAUGCACCUUGGCCACCGCCUGUUGCCCACACGACUGACGUCGCCGCUUCCGCCCUCGAGCAGGAGCCUGGACGCGGCCCGCCUGGACCGAGGCAUGCCGUCCGCCCGGGUCUCCGUCUGGCGCCGCAAGCGCCGCACGUACCCGAGGAAGGGACGAGCAAGGGCAAGAUGAGCCGGUCAGACGCAGGGCCCCCGGUUGAACGGCAGGCAGUGCGCCCUUGGCGGCCAGGAUGUUGCCGUGGUGCAACAGAGGCGUGCGAGCUGUGGUUGAAUGCGUAUAUUUGUCGACGUGUUCGUGGUGGAGCGAGGCGUAGAGGGGUGCCUCGCUGCCACGGGCGGACACGCAAAACGUCAAUAGCACAUAACAGCAAAACAGAAAAGGGGGAAUGCACGCGCGCGCGCACGCACGCGGACGACAAUGCAGACGUCCUCGAUUUUGCUUGCUCCUCCGACGGCUCCGCAUGCCGGCUCCGCCUGGGACGCCACGGCGUGUGUGCGUGUGUGCGUGCGCCCUUCCCCUUUUCCUUUCUUCCCUCGCCUUGUCUUUUGUUCUGUACGGUGCCUUCCUCGAGCGUUUCUG
rnacentral:misc_RNA from 1 species